GUGUCAGCAGCCGCGGUAAGACGAGGGAUCCUAGCGUUGUUCGGAAUCAUUGGGCGUAAAGCGGGUGUAGGUGGCUUUGUAAGUCGAGUGUGAAAGCCUGGGGCUCAACCCCAGAAGUGCAUUCGAUACUGCGAAGCUUGAGUGGUAGAGAGGUUAGUAGAAUUGUUGGUGUAGUGGUGAAAUACGUAGAUAUCAACAGGAAUACCGGAGGCGAAGGCGGCUAACUGGCUACACACUGACACUCAGACCCGAAAGUGCGGGGAUCAAACAGGAUUAGAUACCCUUGUAGUCC
rnacentral:rRNA from 1 species